GUCCAGGUGAGCAUGGCAAGGUGUUUCCUGUGGAGCCACUAACCAGUGGUUGAGCAGGCUUGUAGGGAGGUUCUGCUCCUUCCCCAGCCCUUGCCCUGCUCUGGCUCCAUCCGUGGGCAGCGUUCUCUCUGAGCUGCUGAGGUUCCUCAGCCUCCCCAUGGCAGGAAUGGAGGUGUGGAGGUCUCCUCUGGGCUCCAGCAGCAGAACAGGCUGGUGAGGGCUGGCUCCAAAGAGGUGAGACCUUCCUACACCAGUGCUGGGGAGGCAGGAGCGAGAGGAGAGCUCCAGGAGCCAUCUCAGGAGCUGAGUAAGAUAUUUUUUUUCCCCCUGUGGUUGGAAUGGAGGGGUUGGGUCUGUGCCUAAGAAGCAGCAGCCGAACGUCGGUCCUGGGAGAAAGCCGAGUGGAUGUGGGGUGCCCUGCCAGCUAACUGUCCAGGAGCUGCAGCCCCACGGCCCGAGGGGCUGGAUGCAGUGAGAGGACGCGGCUGGAAAGGAGCCACCAAAACAAAUGCCAGGAAAAAUAAGCCUUCAGUAGUGGCU
rnacentral:lncRNA from 1 species